UGGGGAAUUUUGGACAAUGGGGGCAACCCUGAUCCAGCCAUGCCGCGUGAGUGAAGAAGGCUUCGGGUUGUAAAGCUCUUUCAGAUGGAAAGAAAUCGUGCAGGCCCAAUACCCUGCAUGGAUGACGGUACCGUCAGAAGAAGCACCGGCUAACUACGUG
rnacentral:rRNA from 1 species